rnacentral:rRNA from 1 species
CCCGUCACACCAUGGGAGUUGGUUUCACCCGAAGGCAGUGCGCUAACUCGCAAGAGAGGCGAGCUGACCACGGUGGGAUCAGCGACUGGGGUG